UUGGGAUUGAGAGAUGAGAAGGUCGCCAGGACCACAAGGACACUUCAUUGCCCUCUUGAAUCAGACACAAAUGGGAGAUGAAGAAGUGGAGGCAACAGGACAGAAACACAAGUUCAAGAAAUUUGUAAGCAGGAAGAAAAAAGAACCGUGGAUUAAAUGAGAUGCAGAUACUCCUGGGAGAGGUGACACAUGGAAUCCCUGAAUUUUAAGGCCGAGAAAACUUUGGACUUACCCAAGAUCUGAAACCACUCUCUCAAACUGGAGAACUCUUGGCUGCCCCAACAACCUGUGGCAAAAUCUCCCUUCACUGCUGAUGGAGUUUGAGGUUCUGCUGGACUCUGGCUAUAGUGGCCUGAUCAUUAGUCAAGAAAUAGUCACUCAUGUCCUCUUGUGCUCCAUGGGGGACUCAUGGUAGAGGAGGGUGUUAGCAGGAUGGCUGUCUACACCAGCAAUUCUUACAGCAGGUCAUGGUGGAGUUCACAGGGUGUGCACAUGUGAGAAAGAAAAGGUCCGCCUCACUCCCUGCCGUCCAACUUCCUCUAGGAAUAACAUGCUAACAACACAACUUCCUCCACUCCUCGGGUGACAGCUACUACUCAAUUACUGCUGAGACUAGCACCAUGUAUCAAGUGAUUAACAUGUGCUAGGCCCAUUUCUUAUCUUAUUCAACUCCCAUAACAAUCUCCAGAGAACAUGGGUACCAUUUUCCAGAUGAGGAAACAGAGGCUUUUAGAGGUUAAGUAAUAUGCCAAAGACCACGUAGAGUUGGUAUUCAAACUUACGCAAUCUGAGCAGGCAUCCUGUUUCUGUUUCUUUUACAAAUAAAUUCGAGUUGGGUUUC